rnacentral:tRNA from 1 species
UUUAGGAUCCUAUAAAAUAGAAUUAAUCUAUAAGUAGCUAAGUAUUUAAAUCUAAUUACUUUGUGAUUUUA